GGUUGUGUGGCGGCUUAAGCAUUGGACUAGGACUCUGAAGACCAGGGUUCAAAUCCCAGCUCAGUGA